GCCAGACUCCUACGGGAGGCAGCAGUGGGGAAUAUUGGACAAUGGGGGGAACCCUGAUCCAGCGACGCCGCGUGAGUGAAGAAGUAUUUCGGUAUGUAAAGCUCUAUCAGCAGGGAAGAAAGAAAUGACGGUACCUGACUAAGAAGCCCCGGCUAACUACGUGCCAGCAGCCGCGGUAAUACGUAGGGGGCAAGCGUUAUCCGGAUUUACUGGGUGUAAAGGGCGUGCAGCCGGGCCGACAAGUCAGAUGUGAAAUCCGCGGGCUUAACCCGCGAACUGCAUUUGAAACUAUAGGUCUUGAGUGCCGGAGAGGUAAUCGGAAUUCCUUGUGUAGCGGUGAAAUGCGUAGAUAUAAGGAAGAACACCAGUGGCGAAGGCGGAUUACUGGACGGUAACUGACGGUGAGGCGCGAAAGCGUGGGGAGCAAACAGGAUUAGAUACCCGAGUA
rnacentral:rRNA from 1 species